rnacentral:rRNA from 1 species
GACGUAGGGCGCGAGCGUUGUCCGGAUUUAUUGGGCGUAAAGAGCUCGUAGGCGGCUUGUUGCGUCAGCUGUGAAAACCCGCAGCUCAACUGUGGGCUUGCAGCUGAUACGGGCAGGCUUGAGUUCGGUAGGGGAGACUGGAAUUCCUGGUGUAGCGGUGAAAUGCGCAGAUAUCAGGAAGAACACCAAUGGCGAAGGCAGCUCUCUGGGACGGUACUGACGCUGAGACGCGAAAGCGUGGGGAGCGAACAGG